rnacentral:misc_RNA from 1 species
UGUGUUCAGAACCACGGCAUGGAGA